AUUUAUUUUUGUAACACUUUCUGUGAAGGUCAUAUGGUCUCUAAAUACAUGCGUAACAUUUAAUAAUACAUUUAUAAAUUAUAUAUACAUUAUUGUAUACAUUGUUCAUUGUGCCGUUUUCUUUGUUCAGAACCAAAAGGAUUUGUUUAUGACUUCAUUUAAGAGUUUUUCCAUGUUCAUGUUAUUCCUAUCUUUAAUUAGAAGCAUAUUACAGAUAGAUUUUUUAUUUUUUUUAAAUGAAGUAUAAAAUGAUAGAUUCUAUACUUAAAAAUGACAUAAAAUAAAUCAGAACACCCCAUGGUCUUUUCAUAAUUAAAUAAUAAAGGAAUGAUUUCCCAGCUAUUUUGUUUCUGAGUAUUUUCACUGUAAAGUAUAUAUAUAUAUCACCAUCCCAAAGAUGUGUUUUUUAUUUAUUUUAUAAUGUACAAAAAUUACAUUUAUUUAGAAGAUGCCUCAUUUAUAUAAACAAAUAAAAACAUAUCAGCAUUUGACAAUCAAGUAAAAACUGAUUGUGAUCUCUAUAAAAUUCACAUGUAGAGUCUUGCCUUAAAUGGAAAACUGUUGCUAGGCGACCAGAAAACAUGUUUACCAAAAAGAACCUAGCUAAUGACUGAGGUAAAGCAUUUAACUCAUUAUUAUUUGCUGUGAAAUCUUUUGUUAAGGACAAAGGAAAGGCAAAGUGAUGGUAGAAAUGAGGCGAAAUUAGCGACAAUGUCAACAUUUUCCUCAGAUGUGAUGACAGAUUCUACACUGUAUAAAAUGACCAAAAAAAUCCUCUUAGCAGUAACCGUUAACUUCACUGGAUUUUGCUAUAUUGAGAAAAGACAACAGCGCUUGAACUCAAAGUUACAAGAAAGGAAAUUCUAAACAUCUCAUUCUGUUUAUGUGAAGAUAUGAAAUCAUUUUUGUAAAGACACUAAACACAUGACACUUAAGUUUAGCAUUAGCUUUGUGUUAAAGUAAUCAUCCGAGUGACAUAAAAAUGUGCUAAAUACUCGGUAAGUGUAACAAGAAAAAAAGGAGUAAAAAUAGAUUUACCUCAGGUUUACAUAGUCUGUGCCUUAUGUCUCUGUGUGUGUGUGUGUGUGUGUGUGUGUGUGUGUGUGUGUGUGUGUGUGUGUGUGUGUGUGUGUGUGACCACUGUGUGGACCCCAGGGUCAUAUAGCUCUGAACAUGAGCAUGAAUCUGAAAAGAGCUGACACUGCUCUGUCACUACUACUGAACAAGACUCUGUGUGUGUGUGUGUGUGUGUGUGUGUGUGUGUGUGUGUGUGUGUGUGUGUGUGUGUGUGUGUGUGUGUGUG
ensembl:lncRNA